UACAGAGGGUGCGAGCGUUGUCCGGAAUCACUGGGCGUAAAGGGCGCGUAGGUGGUGGCUUAAGCGUGCGGUGAAAGCUCGGGGCUCAACCCCGAGUCGGCCGUGUGAACUGGGCUCACUGGAGCAUAGUAGAGGCAGGUGGAAUUCCGGGUGUAGCGGUGGAAUGCGUAGAGAUCCGGAAGAACACCGGUGGCGAAGGCGGCCUGCUGGGCUAUGGCUGACACUGAGGCGCGACAGCGUGGGGAGCAAACAGG
rnacentral:rRNA from 1 species